UACAGAGAUCCCAAGCGUUGUUCGGAUUCACUGGGCGUAAAGGGUGCGUAGGCGGUCGGGUAAGUCUGAUGUGAAAUCUCACAGCUUAACUGUGAAACUGCAUUGGAUACUAUCCGGCUCGAGGAAUGGAGGGGGGACUGGAAUACUUGGUGUAGCAGUGAAAUGCGUAGAUAUCAAGUGGAACACCAGUGGCGAAGGCGAGUCUCUGGACAUUUCCUGACGCUGAGGCACGAAAGCCAGGGGAGCAAACGGG
rnacentral:rRNA from 1 species